ACACAUCAGGCUUGAUUUGCUUGCUAGAAUUUUAAUAGGCUCUUGUGCGAUCGCACAUGAAGAAACAGGUGCGAUCACAGGAACAACUUCACAAAUCUUUACAUUUUAGUCCUCAAAUCAAUUUCAUUGUUCAGCCCAAGUCCUUUAUUAGUUGCAUGGAAGGUCUUUCGGCUUCAUACUUCGAAUCUUGGUCCUUUAAUUCCAUAUUUUUGUCCAUCUUCGAUCCUUUCGAUCAAUUCUUGUUCUUUUCC
rnacentral:lncRNA from 1 species